UACGUAGGGACCAAGCGUUGUUCGGAUUUACUGGGUGUAAAGAGCGCGCAGGCGGUCGUGCAAGUCGCGUGUGAAAGCCCCCGGCUCAACUGGGGAGGGUCACGCGAUACUGCUCGACUCGAAGGCAGGAGAGGGAAGUGGAAUUCCCGGUGUAGUGGUGAAAUGCGUAGAUAUCGAGAGGAACACCUGCGGCGAAGGCGGGUUGCUGGGCUGACACUGACGCUGAGGCGCGAAAGCUAGGGGAGCGAACGGG
rnacentral:rRNA from 1 species